UGUCUUCACCUCCACCACCUGACC
rnacentral:siRNA from 1 species